rnacentral:tRNA from 1 species
GCGGUAUUAGCUCAGCUGGAAGUAUUUCAACAGCGCAGGUCUCAUAUUGUACGCGAUCCUGAGGUCAUGAGUUCGAGUAUUAUUUUCUCAUAUACCGCA